rnacentral:rRNA from 1 species
GAUGAACGCUGGCGGCGUGCUUAACACAUGCAAGUCGAGCGAAGCGCUUAAGUUUGAUUCUUCGGAUGAAGACUUUUGUGACUGAGCGGCGGACGGGUGAGUAACGCGUGGGUAACCUGCCUCAUACAGGGGGAUAACAGUUAGAAAUGACUGCUAAUACCGCAUAAGACCACGGUACCGCAUGGUACAGUGGUAAAAACUCCGGUGGUAUGAGAUGGACCCGCGUCUGAUUAGGUAGUUGGUGGGGUAACGGCCUACCAAGCCGACGAUCAGUAGCCGACCUGAGAGGGUGACCGGCCACAUUGGGACUGGGACACGGCCCAGACUCCUACGGGAGGCAGCAGUGGGGAAUAUUGCACAAUGGAGGAAACUCUGAUGCAGCGACGCCGCGUGAAGGAUGAAGUAUUUCGGUAUGUAAACUUCUAUCAGCAGGGAAGAAAAUGACGGUACCUGACUAAGAAGCCCCGGCUAACUACGUGCCAGCCGCCGCAGUAAGAC